ACGGCUCAGUAACACGUAGUCGACAUGCCCAAGGGACGUGGAUAACCUCGGGAAACUGAGGAUAAACCGCGAUAGGCCAUGAUUUCUGGAAUGGAUCAUGGCCGAAAUCUAUAUGGCCCUUGGAUUGGACUGCGGCCGAUCAGGCUGUUGGUGAGGUAAUGGCCCACCAAACCUAUAACCGGUACGGGCUUUGAGAGAAGGAGCCCGGAGAUGGGCACUGAGACAAGGGCCCAGGCCCUAUGGGGCGCAGCAGGCGCGAAAACUCUGCAAUAGGCGAAAGCUUGACAGGGUUACUCUGAGUGAUGCCCGCUAAGGGCAUCUUUUGGUACCUCUAAAAAUGGUGCAGAAUAAGGGGUGGGCAAGUCUGGUGUCAGCCGCCGCGGUAAUACCAGCACCCCGAGUGGUCGGGACGAUUAUUGGGCCUAAAGCAUCCGUAGCCGGUUUUACAAGUCCUCCGUUAAAUCCAACUGCUUAACAGAUGGGCCGCGGAGGAUACUAUAAGACUAGGAGGCCAGUGGCGAAGGCGGUCUGCCAGAACACGUUCGACGGUGAGGGAUGAAAGCUGGGGGAGCAACCCGGAUUAGAUACCCGGGUAGUCCCAGCUGUAAACGAUGCAAACUCGGUGAUGCAUUGGCUUAUGGCCAAUGCAGUGCCGCAGGGAAGCCGUUAAGUUUGCCGCCUGGGAAGUACGGACGCAAGUCUGAAACUUAAAGGAAUUGGGAGAGGCAAACGGUACUCAGUGGGUAGGGGUAAAAUCCACUGAUCCACUGAAGACCACGGCGGGGGAGCAC
rnacentral:rRNA from 1 species